UUUCGGGAAUUUUUUCCACCCCUACCUGCUCAUUUGCCUCGAGCCCAAAGGCAACGGUUCUUUUAUUUUCAUCAAAACCAGAGCCGAAGGGCUCUUUAUUUCCCCAUUUCAAAACAGCCUUCUCGGACAGACAUGAAAGGCUCCAGAUUUGUACACGUGUCUUGCAUUCGGGUGAUGAGUUCCUUAGGAUUCCAACUGAAAAGCUCCAUUAUGUUCCAUUUCUCUUUGAAACCAUUUCUCUCUAGAAUGAAAAAUAGCUCUCCCUCCCUCACAUUUUUCUCUCAUUUCCUCACCCCUCUUCACCCUUAGCCGCUUUUCUCAACCAAACCUUUCGUUUCCCAUGCCUCAAACCAUCAUGGAUUCAAGCUCAGAUCUUCAUUACCGUCAUUCCUUGAACAAAGUUACGCUCAGAAAUCAGAGAUUGGAGUUCGAUCCGUACAUGCAAAGGUACCCUCGAUCCGCAAGGAAAAUGAAGAGAACUGUACGAAUGACACCUUAGGCUCGCAGAUCCAGAAAAGGGAAGUGGGAAGAACAUUUGGACAUCAUAGAUCCAUGAACCUCAAAACUCACAGAUCACAAUGAUCCAGGAAUCUGAAGGUGUACAACUCGUCUUUUUCACCGACAUAGAAAAAGAUAUGCACCUUGAAUGUGGACCCGACUUCGGAUAACCCAGCAAGGCACAAAAUCAAUUGGAGCUACUGGGAAGCCAAGAGAGAAUCCCAGAUUCACAUUUGCAUAGAUCCUCAGAAAAUAAAGAUUGCAGAAAAGUCCCUUGCAAAGAAGGAACCCACUAUAAAUUUUUCUCCCUGUGUCUCCUCCUUAUAAUCUACUCAGGUUUUGGAUCAAAAUGAAACAAUUUCUGCACUGCUGAACGGGUGCUGAUCAUGCACAAAUUGUUGUAAUCGGCACUGUUGUACUACUGUA